GACGGUAUAGCUCAUGUGGGAGAGCGCAUGCUUAGCAUGCAUGAGGUCCUGGGUUCAAUCCCCAGUACCUACU
rnacentral:tRNA from 1 species